rnacentral:rRNA from 1 species
GACGAACGCUGGCGGCGUGCUUAACACAUGCAAGUCGAGCGGUAAGGCCUUUCGGGGUACACGAGCGGCGAACGGGUGAGUAACACGUGGGUGAUCUGCCCUGCACUCUGGGAUAAGCCUGGGAAACUGGGUCUAAUACCGGAUAUGACUACAUGCUGCAUGGCGUGUGGUGGAAAGAUUUAUCGGUGCAGGAUGGGCCCGCGGCCUAUCAGCUUGUUGGUGGGGUAAUGGCCUACCAAGGCGACGACGGGUAGCCGACCUGAGAGGGUGACCGGCCACACUGGGACUGAGACACGGCCCAGACUCCUACGGGAGGCAGCAGUGGGGAAUAUUGCACAAUGGGCGGAAGCCUGAUGCAGCGACGCCGCGUGAGGGAUGAAGGCCUUCGGGUUGUAAACCUCUUUCAGCAGGGACGAAGCGUGAGUGACGGUACCUGCAGAAGAAGCACCGGCUAACUACGUGCCAGCCGCCGCAGUAAAAC